rnacentral:tRNA from 1 species
GGUGGCUCAGUGGUAGAGUGCUUGCCUUGCAUGCAUGAGGCCCUGGGAUUCCCCAGCACCA